UACAGAGGGUGCAAGCGUUAAUCGGAAUUACUGGGCGUAAAGCGUGCGCAGACGGUUGCGUAAGUCAGAUGUGAAAGCCCCGGGCUCAACCUGGGAAUUGCAUUUGAGACUGCGUAGCUAGGGUGCGGAAGAGGGAAGCGGAAUUUCCGGUGUAGCGGUGAAAUGCGUAGAUAUCGUCAAGAACACCGAUAGUGAAGACAGCUAACUAAGCUUUAACUGACGCUGAGGCACGAAAGUGUGGGGAUCAAACAGG
rnacentral:rRNA from 1 species